rnacentral:rRNA from 1 species
GGGUUGUGAGGUUAAGCGACUAAGCGUACACGGUGGAUGCCCUGGCAGUCAGAGGCGAUGAAGGACGUGCUAAUCUGCGAAAAGCGUCGGUAAGGUGAUAUGAACCGUUAUAACCGGCGAUGUCCGAAUGGGGAAACCCAGUGUGAUUCGUCACACUAUCGUUAACUGAAUACAUAGGUUAACGAGGCGAACCGGGGGAACUGAAACAUCUAAGUACCCCGAGGAAAAGAAAUCAACCGAGAUUCCCCCAGUAGCGGCGAGCGAACGGGGAGCAGCCCAGAGUCUGAAUCAGCUUGUGUGUUAGUGGAACGGUCUGGAAAGUCCGACGGUACAGGGUGAUAGUCCCGUACACCAAAAUGCACAGGCUGUGAACUCGAAGAGUAGGGCGGGACACGUGGUAUCCUGUCUGAAUAUGGGGGGACCAUCCUCCAAGGCUAAAUACUCCUGACUGACCGAUAGUGAACCAGUACCGUGAGGGAAAGGCGAAAAGAACCCCGGCGAGGGGAGUGAAAAAGAACCUGAAACCGUGUACGUACAAGCAGUGGGAGCACCUUCGGGUGUGACUGCGUACCUUUUGUAUAAUGGGUCAGCGACUUAUAUUCUGUAGCAAGGUUAACCGUAUAGGGGAGCCGCAGGGAAACCGAGUCUUAACUGGGCGUUAAGUUGCAGGGUAUAGACCCGAAACCCGGUGAUCUAGCCAUGGGCAGGUUGAAGGUUGGGUAACACUAACUGGAGGACCGAACCGACUAAUGUUGAAAAAUUAGCGGAUGACUUGUGGCUGGGGGUGAAAGGCCAAUCAAACCGGGAGAUAGCUGGUUCUCCCCGAAAGCUAUUUAGGUAGCGCCUCGUGAAUUCAUCUUCGGGGGUAGAGCACUGUUUCGGCUAGGGGGUCAUCCCGACUUACCAACCCGAUGCAAACUACGAAUACCGAAGAAUGUUAUCACGGGAGACACACGGCGGGUGCUAACGUCCGUCGUGAAGAGGGAAACAACCCAGACCGCCAGCUAAGGUCCCAAAGUCAUGGUUAAGUGGGAAACGAUGUGGGAAGGCACAGACAGCCAGGAUGUUGGCUUAGAAGCAGCCAUCAUUUAAAGAAAGCGUAAUAGCUCACUGGUCGAGUCGGCCUGCGCGGAAGAUGUAACGGGGCUAAACCAUGCACCGAAGCUGCGGCAGCGACACUAUGUGUUGUUGGGUAGGGGAGCGUUCUGUAAGCCUGCGAAGGUGUGCUGUGAGGCAUGCUGGAGGUAUCAGAAGUGCGAAUGCUGACAUAAGUAACGAUAAAGCGGGUGAAAAGCCCGCUCGCCGGAAGACCAAGGGUUCCUGUCCAACGUUAAUCGGGGCAGGGUGAGUCGACCCCUAAGGCGAGGCCGAAAGGCGUAGUCGAUGGGAAACAGGUUAAUAUUCCUGUACUUGGUGUUACUGCGAAGGGGGGACGGAGAAGGCUAUGUUAGCCGGGCGACGGUUGUCCCGGUUUAAGCAUGUAGGCUGGUUGUCCAGGCAAAUCCGGAUAAUCAAGGCUGAGGUGUGAUGACGAGGCACUACGGUGCUGAAGUAACAAAUGCCCUGCUUCCAGGAAAAGCCUCUAAGCAUCAGGUAACAUCAAAUCGUACCCCAAACCGACACAGGUGGUCAGGUAGAGAAUACCAAGGCGCUUGAGAGAACUCGGGUGAAGGAACUAGGCAAAAUGGUGCCGUAACUUCGGGAGAAGGCACGCUGGUGUGUAGGUGAAGUCCCUGCGGAUGGAGCUGAGACCAGUCGAAGAUACCAGCUGGCUGCAACUGUUUAUUAAAAACACAGCACUGUGCAAACACGAAAGUGGACGUAUACGGUGUGACGCCUGCCCGGUGCCGGAAGGUUAAUUGAUGGGGUUAUCCGUAAGGAGAAGCUCUUGAUCGAAGCCCCGGUAAACGGCGGCCGUAACUAUAACGGUCCUAAGGUAGCGAAAUUCCUUGUCGGGUAAGUUCCGACCUGCACGAAUGGCGUAAUGAUGGCCAGGCUGUCUCCACCCGAGACUCAGUGAAAUUGAACUCGCUGUGAAGAUGCAGUGUACCCGCGGCAAGACGGAAAGACCCCGUGAACCUUUACUAUAGCUUGACACUGAACAUUGAGCCUUGAUGUGUAGGAUAGGUGGGAGGCUUUGAAGCGUGGACGCCAGUCUGCGUGGAGCCAACCUUGAAAUACCACCCUUUAAUGUUUGAUGUUCUAACGUUGGCCCCUGACCGGGGUUGCGGACAGUGUCUGGUGGGUAGUUUGACUGGGGCGGUCUCCUCCCAAAGCGUAACGGAGGAGCACGAAGGUUAGCUAAUCCUGGUCGGACAUCAGGAGGUUAGUGCAAUGGCAUAAGCUAGCUUGACUGCGAGCGUGACGGCGCGAGCAGGUGCGAAAGCAGGUCAUAGUGAUCCGGUGGUUCUGAAUGGAAGGGCCAUCGCUCAACGGAUAAAAGGUACUCCGGGGAUAACAGGCUGAUACCGCCCAAGAGUUCAUAUCGACGGCGGUGUUUGGCACCUCGAUGUCGGCUCAUCACAUCCUGGGGCUGAAGUAGGUCCCAAGGGUAUGGCUGUUCGCCAUUUAAAGUGGUACGCGAGCUGGGUUUAGAACGUCGUGAGACAGUUCGGUCCCUAUCUGCCGUGGGCGCUGGAGAAUUGAGGGGGGCUGCUCCUAGUACGAGAGGACCGGAGUGGACGCAUCACUGGUGUUCGGGUUGUCAUGCCAAUGGCACUGCCCGGUAGCUAAAUGCGGAAGAGAUAAGUGCUGAAAGCAUCUAAGCACGAAACUUGCCCCGAGAUGAGUUCUCCCUGAGACUUUAAGUCUCCUGAAGGAACGUUAAAGACGAUGACGUUGAUAGGCCGGGUGUGUAAGCGCAGCGAUGCGUUGAGCUAACCGGUACUAAUGAACCGUGAGGCUUAACCUUACAACGCCGAAG